GGGGGUUGGGUAUAGUCAGUGGUAGAGCAUGUGCUUAGCAUGCACAAGGUCCUAGGUUCAAUCCCCAGUACCUCCA
rnacentral:tRNA from 1 species